CCUACGGGUGGCAGCAGUGGGGAAUAUGGCACAAUGGGGGAAACCCUGAUGCAGCGACGCCGCGUGAGUGAAGAAGGAUUUCGGUAUGUAAAGCUCUAUCAGCAGGGAAGAAGAAAGACGGGAGCUGACUAAGAAGCCCCGGCGAACUACGUGCCAGCAGCCGCGGAAAUACGUAGGGGACAAGCGUUAUCCGGAUUUACUGGGUGUAAAGGGAGCGUAGACGGCUGUGCAAAUCUGAAGUGAAAGCACAGGGCUCAACCCUGGGACUGCUUUGGAAACUGGGGGGCUUGAGUGCUGGAGAGGUAAGUGGAAGUCCUAGUGUAGCGGUGAAAUGCGUAGAUAUUAGGAGGAACACCAGUGGCGAAGGCGGCUUACUGGACAGUAACUGACGUUGAGGCUCGAAAGCGUGGGGAGCAAACAGGAUUAGAUACCCCAGUAGUC
rnacentral:rRNA from 1 species